GAUGAACGCUGGCGGCGUGCCUAAUACAUGCGAGUCGAGCGAACAGACGAGGAGCUUGCUCCUCUGACGUUAGCGGCGGACGGGUGAGUAACACGUGGAUAACCUACCUAUAAGACUGGGAUAACUUCGGGAAACCGGAGCUAAUACCGGAUAAUAUAUUGAACCGCAUGGUUCAAUAGUGAAAGACGGUUUUGCUGUCACUUAUAGAUGGAUCCGCGCAGCAUUAGCUAGUUGGUAAGGUAACGGCUUACCAAGGCAACGAUGCGUAGCCGACCUGAGAGGGUGAUCGGCCACACUGGAACUGAGACACGGUCCAGACUCCUACGGGAGGCAGCAGUAGGGAAUCUUCCGCAAUGGGCGAAAGCCUGACGGAGCAACGCCGCGUGAGUGAUGAAGGUCUUCGGAUCGUAAAACUCUGUUAUUAGGGAAGAACAAAUGUGUAAGUAACUAUGCACGUCUUGACGGUACCUAAUCAGAAAGCCACGGCUAACUACGUG
rnacentral:rRNA from 1 species